rnacentral:snRNA from 1 species
GUCUUCAAUCUUGCGUCUU